GAUGAACGCUGGCGGCGUGCCUAAUACAUGCAAGUCGAACGGACAUCCCGCAAGGGAUGUGAGUGGCGAACGGGUGAGUAACGCGUUGGUGACCUGCCCCGCAGUGCGGGAUACCAGUCCGAAAGGAUUGCUAAUACCGCAUGCGCCCCCGGGGGUUAGAGACCCCGGGUGCAAAGGUCCGCAAGGAUCGCUGUGGGAGGGACCUGCGUCCCAUCAGCUGGUUGGUAGGGUAACGGCCUACCAAGGCGAUGACGGGUAGGGGACCUGAGAGGGUGGCCCCCCACAAUGGAACUGAAACACGGUCCAUACACCUACGGGUGGCAGCAGUAGGGAAUAUUGCAAAAUGGGCGCAAGCCCGAUGCAGCAACGCCGCGUGCGCGAUGAAGGCCUUCGGGUCGUAAAGCGCUUUUCGGAGGGAUGAGGAAGGACAGUACCUCCGGAAGAAGUCUCGGCUAACUACGUGCCAGCAGCCGC
rnacentral:rRNA from 1 species